GAUGAACGCUGGCGGCGUGCCUAAUACAUGCAAGUCGAGCGAACAGACGAGGAGCUUGCUCCUCUGACGUUAGCGGCGGACGGGUGAGUAACACGUGGAUAACCUACCUAUAAGACUGGGAUAACUUCGGGAAACCGGAGCUAAUACCGGAUAAUAUAUUUAACCGCAUGGUUCAAUAGUGAAAGACGGUUUUGCUGUCACUUAUAGAUGGAUCCGCGCCGCAUUAGCUAGUUGGUAAGGUAACGGCUUACCAAGGCGACGAUGCGUAGCCGACCUGAGAGGGUGAUCGGCCACACUGGAACUGAGACACGGUCCAGACUCCUACGGGAGGCAGCAGUAGGGAAUCUUCCGCAAUGGGCGAAAGCCUGAAGGAGCAACGCCGCGUGAGUGAUGAAGGUCUUCGGAUCGUAAAACUCUGUUAUUAGGGAAGAACAAAUGUGUAAGUAACUAUGCACGUCUUGACGGUACCUAAUCAGAAAGACACGGCUAACUACGUG
rnacentral:rRNA from 1 species